UAGUUCCAUAAAAGACAAUACCAGAGCUUGAUUCCGAAAUUCGUAAGGAUUGCUCUUCCAUCCAGAUUGGUGCGGAAAACGACAGUUCGUCUUUCGUCAUUCGUCUAUGGUCGAUACUUGUGAAUAUUUUUGUUUUGUCAAUAUUUAAUAUAUGUAUGAGUUGAUGAGGAAUUUCAAAUUUCGACCACUGUACAACAGUUUGAAAUAAAUAGUGCAAGAAAAUACAUUUACUAUGCCUAUCCUUGAAUUUGUAUUACGCAAAAUAAGAAAGUUUGUGAUGAACUCAUAUUACUCAUUUCUCAAGCAUAUCUUGACUGUGACUUCUUUGUUAUCAAUGUCAUUCAUUGUGUCUGUAAAACAAAAAUCAUCAUUAAUUCCAUAUAAUUAAUAGAAAUUUAAACCAUUAAACUAAAUUAGCAAACU
rnacentral:sRNA from 1 species